UACGUAGGGGGCUAGCGUUGUCCGGAAUCAUUGGGCGUAAAGCGCGUGUAGGCGGUCCGGUAAGUCCGCUGUGAAAGUCGGGGGCUCAACCCUCGGAUGCCGGUGGAUACUGUCGGGCUUGAGUACGGAAGAGGCGAGUGGAAUUCCUGGUGUAGCGGUGAAAUGCGCAGAUAUCAGGAGGAACACCAAUUGCGAAGGCCGCUCGCUGGGACGUUACUGACGCUGAGACGCGAAAGCGUGGGGAGCAAACAGG
rnacentral:rRNA from 1 species